rnacentral:rRNA from 1 species
CCUACGGGUGGCAGCAGUGAGGAAUAUUGGUCAAUGGACGAGAGUCUGAACCAGCCAAGCAGCGUGAAGGAUGACUGCUCUUUGGGUUGUAAACUUCUUUUAUAUGGGAAUAAAUUGUUCCAAGUGUGGGAUUAUGUAUGUACCAUACGAAUAAGGAUCGGCUAACUCCGUGCCAGCAGCCGCGGUAAUACGGAGGAUCCGUGCGUUAUCCGGAUUUAUUGGGUUUAAAGGGAGCGUAGGUGGGUUGUUAAGUCAGUUGUGAAAGUUUGCGGCUCAACCGUAACAAUGCAGUUGAAACUGGCAGUCUAGAGUACAGUAGAGGUAGGCGGAAUUCGUGGUGUAGCGGUGAAAUGCGUAGAUAUCACGAGGAACACCGAUUGCGAAGGCAGCUCCCUGGACAGCAACUGACGCUGAGGCACGAAAGUGUGGGUAUCAAACAGGAUUAGAUACCCGGGUAGUC